rnacentral:rRNA from 1 species
CUCUCCGCCUCCUCCUUUAAAAAANAAGGUUGCGGGUAGAAGCGUGACAGGAGUUCGACCCUCUUGCGGGCGCACGGACUGACUCCGUGGCCCAUGCAGUUUUGAGGUNGUNUUNGUUGGUCGCGCAAGGCCCGUAGGAGUUGUUGGCGGUUGGCGGCGAGUAGAUCGGUCACCCACCCGACCCGUCUUGAAACACGGACCAAGGAGUCUAACAUGUAUGCGAGUCAAUGGGACUCGAAUAAGCCCAAAGGCGCAAUGAAAGCAAAGGCAUCGGAUGACACCGAUGCCGUGUUGGGAUCCCUGCUCCUUAUGCGGGCGGGGCGCACCAACGACCCGUCCUCUUCCACUGUUGGAUUGGGCGGAGUCUGAGCAUACACGUUGGGACCCGAAAGAUGGUGAACUAUGCCCGGACAGGACGAGGCCAGAGGAAACUCUGGUGGAGGUCCGCAGCGG